GUUUAACGGCCGCGGUACCCUAACCGCGCGAAGGUAGCAUAAUCACUUGUUCUUUAAAUGAGGACUCGUAUCAAUGGCACCACGAGGACUUUACUGUCUCCUUUUUCUAAUCAGUGAAACUAAUCUUCCCGUGAAGAAGCGGGAAUAAAUAGAUAAGACGAGAAGACCCCAUGGAGCUUUAAGCUUACUGCACCUCUAUUUUCUAUAACCUCUUAUUAAACGGAAUACUGCUUACUUAGCUUUAGGUUGGGGUGACCGCGGAGUAUAACAUAACCUCCAUGAUGAACAAAACUAUUUUCUUAUCUAAGAACAACAGUUCUAAGAAUUAGUAUUCUAACAUAAAAUGAUCCGAUAAUCGAUCAACGGACUAAGUUACCCUGGGGAUAACAGCGCAAUCCAUUUCAAGAGCCCCUAUCGACAAAUGGGUUUACGACCUCGAUGUUGGAUCAGGAUAUCCUAGUGGUGCAGCAGCUACUGAAGGUUCGUUUGUUCAACGAUUAAAAUCCU
rnacentral:rRNA from 1 species